GAUGAACGCUGGCGGCGUGCCUAAUACAUGCAAGUCGAGCGAACAGACGAGGAGCUUGCUCCUCUGACGUUAGCGGCGGACGGGUGAGUAACACGUGGAUAACCUACCUAUAAUACUGGGAUAACUUCGGGAAACCGGAGCUAAUACCGGAUAAUAUAUUGAACCGCAUGGUUCAAUAGUGAAAGACGGUUUUGCUGUCACUUAUAGAUGGAUCCGCGCCGCAUUAGCUAGUUGGUAAGGUAACGGCUUACCAAGGCAACCAUGCGUAGCCGACCUGAGGGGGUGAUCGGCCACACUAGAGCUGGGACACGGUCAAGACUCCUACGGGAGGCAGCAGUAGGGAAUCUUCCGCAAUGGGCGAAAGCCUGACGGAGCAACGCCGCGUGAGUGAUGAAGGUCUUCGGAUCGUAAAACUCUGUUAUUAGGGAAGAACAAAUGUGUAAGUAACUAUGCACGGCUUGACGGUACCUAAUCAGAAAGCCACGGCUAACUACGUG
rnacentral:rRNA from 1 species